UACGUAGGGUGCGAGCGUUGUCCGGAAUUAUUGGGCGUAAAGAGCUCGUAGGCGGUGUGUCGCGUCGGCCGUGAAAACCUGCAGCUUAACUGUGGGCGUGCGGUCGAUACGGGCAUCACUGGAGUUCGGCAGGGGAGACUGGAAUUCCUGGUGUAGCGGUGAAAUGCGCAGAUAUCAGGAGGAACACCGGUGGCGAAGGCGGGUCUCUGGGCCGAUACUGACGCUGAGGAGCGAAAGCGUGGGGAGCGAACAGG
rnacentral:rRNA from 1 species